rnacentral:lncRNA from 1 species
UAAGCGACUCCAAACAGGUCCAGAGUAGAGAUGACUGAUGCCCCAGACACCAAACUCGUAGUUGAUUAUUUCCAUCAGCCCUAACACAGCCGCUUCCAGCGCCGAUUGUGAAGAGGUUAAACUCCUAGUUGAUUAUUUCCAUCAGCCCUAACACCGCAGCUGCCAGCGCCGAUUGUGAAGAGGUCAAAAUCAUACUGGCGAGGCUCGGCGCCAUUGUUGGACUCGGCUCGAGUAUUGAAACGACGGGUGAAACUACUAGAAUUAGCACUAGAAAAAGUUAGCGAUUGAGGAAGAAAAAGAAGUGCCGUUAGCGAUUGAGGAAGAAAAAGAGGCAUGGGCGGUGUAUUUAUGGUGGUGCUGGUGGAGUUUGUUAGGGCAGUUGUUGGCGUAGACGAAAAAGUUACAGCAAAGAGAGUUCUGUGGUGGAGGUGCCGGAUGAGUAAGUGGAGGAGGAGGUGAUGGCAGAUGAGGAGCCUCUCUCUCUAAACCCCCGAGGAUGCACUCCAGUUACGAUUUUUU